rnacentral:lncRNA from 1 species
GACUUAUCCAGCUCUUCUUCUCUCUGACCUUCUGAAGAAGCAACUUUUAUUUAACAUCGGCCUGAGCCCUCUCAACCCUGCCGAUAUUUUUUUUUUCUCAAGUCAUUCGCUCCUUCCUCUUUUCUCUUAUUCUGUUUCUAAACUGUGCCGAUCUUUUUUCAUUGCAAAUAUGGAUGCAGACGCAACUCGGAUACUAGCCAAGGUUCUCAAGGCCCACA